CAGAGAGCUGUCCAAGACAACAACCAGAUGUCGGAGCGCCAGGAAACCGAGAAAGCAAACAGGUGGCCAGAGCAGAGCCUGGUGCAGUGGGGGCUUCCUCAUCCCUCGGGCAGUCCCACGAGACUCGUGGCCACAACUGUCCUGCUCUGCAUGCUAUUGGACCCAGUCAUCCUCCAGACUCUAGGGCACCAGGAUCUUACAACCGUGGAAGGAUUCCCCCGUCUAAACUUGAAGUUUGACUCGAGGAGAAUGGAACUGAGUUGGGACUGCAAGGAAAACACUAUGUACCUCAAGUGCGUGAUGAUCCACAAGGAGAAAGGGCCAAUCGAAAUAAUGCUCAAGGAGAAUGAAUGUCACUGCAAGUUUCCGGAUUAUCCUCUCCAUGAGGGCGUCAUGUUCAUGGUUAAAGUAAAUAGCAUCCAAAGACCGAUUCCAGAAACACUGGUCUACACUAACCCAGGUGGGAUGGGCACAGCUGCCCAAAACUUCUCCUGUUUUAUCUACAAUGCAAACUUCAUGAACUGCACUUGGGCAAAGGGUCAAGCUGCCCCUGAUGACGUGCAAUAUUUUUUGUACAUACGAGACUUGAAACAAAGAAGGGAAAGAGAGUGUCCUCAUUAUUUAGAAGACUCAGGAAUCCACGUAGGAUGUCACUUGGAAGACCUCUCGGGAUUAGCGUACUACAAUUACUUCCUGGUGAAUGGUACCAGCCAAAGGACAGGAAUCCAGUUCUUUGAUUCGAUUUUGUUCUGGAAGAAAAUAGAAAUAUACAGCCCGCCCAACAAUAUCAGCGUGCACUGCAACGUGUCGCACUGUCUGAUCCAGUGGGGAAAGCCUGUGACCCGACACGCCCUGUCCAACAGGGAGUUCAAGUACCAGCUGGACAUCCAGAGACUGAAAAAUAAGGAACACAGCGGGAACCAACUGAUUGAGGUGUCUGGUAAUUGGGAAAAUAAAUACAACUUCCCGAGUCCAGAGCCCAGAGUCAAGCAUACUGUGAAAAUACGGACCUCAGACGCGCGGAUCCAGAGGUGGGGCUCCUGGAGCCAGCCUGUGGAGUUCGGCUCCGACGACCCCGAGGCCAGCCUUGUGCACAUCUACAUGCUGGUGGUCCUGGGGACCCUUGUCUCCGCCCUGAUCAUCGGUUGCCUUUUGAAAAGGCCCCCGAGCCAACCCGUCCGGCCCCCACACGUCAGCUGCACAGUGGACUUCGUCCGAGCUCAGCGGUGCUUACACAGGGCUUGCAUUCAGCCUCACGGCAGCGAGCUUCCUCUUUGUGGAAUGCUUUCCCCUCCAACCCCUCCGCUGGCGGUUCAUUUCCACCUGAUAAGCCUCACCGGGUACUCAGGGAUCCCCCCGCUCCUGACCCACUCCCUUCCUGGACGCCUCCACGGAGCCCAGCCUGAACCUUCCCGUGUACCUGCUUACCGCCAGCCUCUCCGCGGGCUCCUCCCUGGAAGGCUACCACGUCGUUUCCAGUGUGUGAUCUCUGCACCAGGCAGGGUCCCGGGGCGUCUCGCAAAUGCCUCUGAAUGAACGUGCAUCCAUGAAAUCAUUAAUUCCCACUUGCAUGCAGGUUGCAUGCAGAUUGCAUGAUGUUGUGCAAAGCACGGGGACUUUUUGCAGCUGGUGGUCCUCCUGCAUGAUGUGGGGACCCCCUGGAUGUCCUCCUGUGCUCACCCCCGAGGCCCCGCACCCUGGUAGGGCAUCCUGGGUGUAUCUCCCUCACGAUGGACACGCGGUGUGGCUAACCGCACGGGAAUGCUGCAUAAGCACAAGGAGAGGAUGGCGCCCAGGCUGCUGGAUGCACGGGCGGCUUGACACCACCCCGUUCUCGGGGGACCCUGAACCUUCGGGGCCAAAGGGGAACAGGGGCAGCCUCGCGACCUGCUGCCGGAAUGGGCACAGACCACGUGCCUUGCACAGGGACAGUUAUCUUAAUGAGAAGUUGUCUGAGUUUCCUGCAGCCACAGGAAAAAAAUGACCACAAACCAGAUGGUUUGAAAUAUUAGAAAUUCAAUCUGUCCCAGACAUCUGAGCUCCAAGAGGGACAGGACCAUCAAGGUCCAGGGCAGAGGCUCCGGGAGGGUCUGUCCUGCCUCUUCCAGUGUCUGGGGCCCCAGGCAUCCCCAGGCUGGUGGCCGCGUCCCUCUGGUCUCUGCCUCCAUCCUCUGUGUCUGCGUCUCCUCUUCUGUCUCUUCCAAGGACCCCUCAUUGGACGUAGGGCCACCCUCAUCCAGGAUGACCUCAUGUUAACAUGAUUCCAUCUGCAAAGACCCUAUUUCCAAACAAGAUCCUGUUUCCAGAUUCCGGGACUCAAGACUGGAAUUUAUAUUUUUGGGGGGAAGCCCCUACUGAGCUGAGCAGAAGCAACUCCAGGUGUCCUGCAAUGGGAGGGGCUUCUCCUGAAAUAAGAGAAAAAAGCAAACGUGCCUUUGAAAAUGCAGGAAGACUCUGAUGUUGGGCAAAUAUGACAUCUGCUUUAAGUAAAAUCUAGGUGAAAAUUAGCAUUUAUGUAAAAAUGUUAGGAAAAAAAAACGAUAAAUGCAGCAUGUAGACAGAAAACCUGCCGGACCGGAAAACGUGCUCUUGGUGGUUGUGUGGACGCAGGAGGAGACACACGCGUUGUGAUCCUCAGGGACUCUGGAGGCUGCCCAUGACCUGCCAUGACCCCCAGUCCCAUCCUUCCCCGUCUCUGUACCAGAGGGACCAAGUGAAGGUUCUAGAAAUAUCAUCACGGGCGUCCCUAUGUGCUCCUGUAGCAUCUCCUACUUGCUCACUCAUCCCAGAGUUGGUUUGUCCUGCUGUGAGUCUUCCGUGAAAUUGUCCAGAGGCACGCGGUCCAGAGGCGUGUCACUGGGGGGUGGGGGAGACGUGUCCCGCGUCCCCAUGUCCUCAGGGUCUUUCCUUCACACGCUUCUUGUCUUACCAGAUUCCUCGCAUCUCGGAGGCUUUUCCCACGGAUUCCGCACGUCAAAGACAAAUGGAACGACAACCAUCCGUCUGACCACCAGGUCAUCUGGGAGAAGUUCGCCUCAGACCCGCAAAAAGCUGACAACGAAGAGAUCGUGACCGU